UACGUAGGGUGCGAGCGUUGUCCGGAAUUAUUGGGCGUAAAGAGCUCGUAGGCGGUUUGUCACGUCUGCUGUGAAAACCUGAGGCUCAACCUCGGGCUUGCAGUGGGUACGGGCAGACUAGAGUGCGGUAGGGGUGACUGGAAUUCCUGGUGUAGCGGUGGAAUGCGUAGAGAUCGGCAGGAACACCCAGGGGGAAACCAGUCGACUGGGCAUCGUACUGACGCUGAGGUGCGAGAGCGUGGGGAGCGAACCGGAUUGAGAAACCC
rnacentral:rRNA from 1 species